rnacentral:rRNA from 1 species
UACGAAGGGGGCUAGCGUUGCUCGGAAUCACUGGGCGUAAAGGGUGCGUAGGCGGGUCUUUUAAGUCAGGGGUGAAAUCCUGGAGCUCAACUCCAGAACUGCCUUUGAUACUGGCAAUCUUGAGUCCGGAAGAGGUGAGUGGAACUCCUAGUGUAGAGGUGGAAUUCGUAGAUAUUAGGAAGAGCACCAGUGGCGAAGGCGGCUCACUGGUCCGGUACUGACGCUGAGGUGCGAAAGCGUGGGGAGCGAACAGG